CCUUACGCUCCUUCACCUCGCGCACAUAACGGGGUAAAUGAAAAGUCAGACUGACAUGAACCUUUUAAAACAACUGAAACAAUUUCUGCAUUCUGAUUAUUGAAAUUUAAAAGUGCUGUGUUGUUCUAUCACCCCGUUUCAUACCGGACCACUUACAGCWCCGUGUUAACGCUAUAAAAUGAAKGCUCUCUAUCGUGGYAUCACCCAUGGAGGGAUUUCUUUAUUU